CGGUGAGUGAUUGAUUGGUCCAAAAAAUGAUGAUUUGAAAUGAUGUUUUUCAGCAAAAAAAUAUCAUUGCAGACGAUGUUUUUAGUUUUUAUAUUAUUUUAAUAAAUAAAUUUAAUUUAUAUUAAUUUAAUAAAAGAAUUUUAAAAAAAUAUUAAUAUGAUAAAAUAUUCAUGAUUUUUUAUCUUAUUUUUGUUUUGAUAA
rnacentral:lncRNA from 1 species